rnacentral:rRNA from 1 species
GUAGGGAAUAUUGCGCAAUGGGGGAAACCCUGACGCAGCAACGCCGCGUGAGUGAGGAAGGUCUUCGGAUUGUAAAACUCUUUUAUUAGGGAAAAAUGUCUAGGUGGCUAAUAUCCACUUAGAGUGAUGGUACCUAAGGAAUAAGCACCGGCUAACUUCGUGCCAGCAGCCGCGGUAAUACGAAGGGUGCAAGCGUUGUUCGGAAUCAUUGGGCGUAAAGCGCGCGCAGGCGGGUCAGUAAGUCAGGUGUGAAAUCUCGGAGCUCAACUCCGAAACUGGGCCUGAAACUAUUGGUCUAGAGUAUCGGAGGGGACAGGGGAAUUUCACGUGUAGGGGUAAAAUCCGUAGAGAUGUGAAGGAACACCGGAGGCGAAGGCGCCUGUCUGGACGAUUACUGACGCUGAGGCGCGAAAGCGUGGGGAGCAAACAGGAUUAGAUACCCGAGUAGUCC